rnacentral:snRNA from 1 species
GUCGCUUCUCGGCCUUUUGGCUAAGAUCAAGUGUAGUAUCUGAAUUUAGAGCACUUGAAUGUGUAACUUUGUUUUAUAACUUGUCACAUUUUCUUAGAGAGAAAAUUCAGAAAAUUAACUUUGUAUUUCUUAACAUUA